CAAACCAAAGCUGGCGACCGGCGCACGGGUGAGUAACACGUAUCCAACCUGCCUCAUACUCGGGGAUAGCCUUUCGAAAGAAAGAUUAAUACCCGAUGGUAUAAUAAAACCGCAUGGUUUAAUUAUUAAAGAAUUUCGGUUAUCGAUGGGGAUGCGUUCCAUUAGGCAGUUGGUGAGGUAACGGCUCACCAAACCUUCGAUGGAUAGGGGUUCUGAGAGGAAGGUCCCCCACAUUGGAACUGAGACACGGUCCAA
rnacentral:rRNA from 1 species